UGAUUGUCUGUAAGCACAACGGUUCGUUGU
rnacentral:piRNA from 1 species